rnacentral:tRNA from 1 species
GCCGGGGUAGCUUAGCCUGGUUAGGGCGCCAGACUCAUAAUCUGGAGGUCGCGGGUUCGAAGCCCGCCCCCGGCA